rnacentral:rRNA from 1 species
AGCGAACGCUGGCGGCAGGCCUAACACAUGCAAGUCGAACGAACCUUUCGGGGUUAGUGGCGGACGGGUGAGUAACACGUGGGAACGUGCCUUUAGGUUCGGAAUAACUCAGGGAAACUUGUGCUAAUACCGAAUGUGCCCUUCGGGGGAAAGAUUUAUCGCCUUUAGAGCGGCCCGCGUCUGAUUAGCUAGUUGGUUGAGGUAAUGGCUCACCAAGGCGACGAUCAGUAGCUGGUCUGAGAGGAUGAUCAGCCACAUUGGGACUGAGACACGGCCCAAACUCCUACGGGAGGCAGCAGUGGGGAAUCUUGCGCAAUGGGCGAAAGCCUGACGCAGCCAUGCCGCGUGAAUGAUGAAGGUCUUAGGAUUGUAAAAUUCUUUCACCGGGGACGAUAAUGACGGUACCCGGAGAGGAAGCCCCGGCUAACUUCGUG